GUGUAGUCUGCUGUCUACCUUUACUCGCUAGAUAGACCGUCCUCGCUAGAUUUUACUUCUUGACCUCUCUAUAUAAUCUUAUUUGUUUCAUUCUGUUCUACAUUUUUUCUGUCCAGGGUCACAAGUGUGAAAGACAUUUUGCCAGUGUCCACAAGUUGGUGGGGGCGGCGGUAGUGGUCCGUUGACGUCACAAAUAUGGGGAAGGGGGACAUUUCUCGAAGGAUUGUCCACAAGAGGGUCGCGGUGGCGGUGGAAGUCGUACCUGCCAUGAGAUAAACAAAAAAAAACAUCAUUCUUAGUGCUCAUUUUUAACGAAGAAGAGGGCAAUAUAGCAAGGGAUUUUCCUCAAGGAGGAAGCAUUGGUGGCAGCAACUGUUAUGAUUGUAGUGAAGCUGACCACACCUCGAAAGGCUGCCCGAAUCUCUUCAGUGAAUUGACGGAAGAAGGAAAGCCACAUGAGCAAUACAUUCCAGAAGCUGUGACAUGCGAUGAAAAGGAACUGUUUAAGGGCAUUGUCUAUGUGGGAACGCUUUAACAAUUUUGAUAAAGUUGUCCUCUAUGUAAGCCAU